UACGUAGGGUGCGAGGCGUUGUCCGGAAUUAUUGGCGUAAAGGGCUCGUAGGCGGUUUGUCGCGUCGGGAGUGAAAACUCAGGGCUUAACCCUGAGCCUGCUUCCGAUACGGGCAGACUAGAGGUAUGCAGGGGAGAACGGAAUUCCUGGUGUAGCGGUGAAAUGCGCAGAUAUCAGGAGGAACACCGGUGGCGAAGGCGGUCUCUGGGCAUUACCUGACGCUGAGGAGCGAAAGUGUGGGGAGCGAACAGGG
rnacentral:rRNA from 1 species